GACGAACGCUGGCGGCGUGCUUAACACAUGCAAGUCGAACGAAGAGCGAUGGAAGCUUGCUUCUCUCACUCUUAGUGGCGAACGGGUGAGUAACGCGUAAUCAACCUGCCCUUCAGAGGGGGACAACAGUUGGAAACGACUGCUAAUGCCGCAUACGAUCUGACCUCGGCAUCGAGGAUAGAUGAAAGGUGGCCUCUAUUUUAUAAGCUAUCACUGAAGGAGGGGAUUGCGUCUGAUUAGCUAGUUGGAGGGGUAACGGCCCACCAAGGCGAUGAUCAGUAGCCGGUCUGAGAGGAUGAACGGCCACAUUGGGACUGAGACACGGCCCAGACUCCUACGGGAGGCAGCAGUGGGGAAUCUUCCGCAAUGGACGAAAGUCUGACGGAGCAACGCCGCGUGAGUGAUGACGGCCGUCGGGUUGUAAAGCUCUGUUAAUCGGGACGAAAGGCCUUCUUGCGAAUAGUUAGAAGGAUUGACGGUACCGGAAUAGAAAGCCACGGCUAACUACGUG
rnacentral:rRNA from 1 species